AGUGAACGCUGGCGGCAUGCCUAACACAUGCAAGUCGAACGAGACCUUCGGGAGCUGUGGCGCACGGGUGUGUCACGUGUCGGAAGCUGCCUUCAGGUUUGGCAUACCUCUGAGACAUUUGUGCUAAUGUCGGAUGAUGUCUUCUGACCAAAGAUUUAUCGCCUUUCGUUGGGCCCGAGUUGGAUUCGCUAGUUGCUGGGGUAAUGACCUAUCACGGCGACGAUUGAUAGCUUGUUAAAGUGGCUGAUCAGCCACACCGGGAGGGAGACACGGCCCGGAAUCCUACGGGAGGCAGCAAAGGCGAAUAGUGGACAAGCGGCGAAAGCCUGAACGAGCUAUGCCGCGUAAAUGAUGAUGUCCUGAGAGUAGUAAAGCUCUAUUACCCGAGAUGAUAAUGACAGUAUCGGAAGAAUAAGCUCCGGCUAACUCCGUG
rnacentral:rRNA from 1 species